UACGUAGGGUGCAAGCAUUAAUCGGAUUUAUUGGGCGUAAAGGGCGCGUAGGCUGGAGCGUAAGUCAGAUGUGAAAUCCCGGGGCUCAACCCCGGAACUGCAUUUGAAACUGUGUUUCUAGAGGGUAGGCGGAGAAAACGGAAUUCUACAAGUAGCGGUGAAAUGCGUAGAUAUGUGGAAGAACACCAGUGGCGAAGGCGGUUUUCUAGCUUAUACCUGACGCUGAUGCGCGAAAGCAAGGGGAGCAAACAGG
rnacentral:rRNA from 1 species